rnacentral:pre_miRNA from 1 species
AGUGGGAUAGCUGGGUUAAACUUUCAUUUUAAGUUUUCUAAGGAAUCUCCACACUGCUUUCCAGAUUGGUUGCAUCAAUUUGUAGUCUCACCAGCAAU